GACGAACGCUGGCGGCGUGCCUAAUACAUGCAAGUAGAACGCUGAAGAGAGGAGCUUGCUCUUCUUGGAUGAGUUGCGAACGGGUGAGUAACGCGUAGGUAACCUGCCUUGUAGCGGGGGAUAACUAUUGGAAACGAUAGCUAAUACCGCAUAACAAUGGAUGACACAUGUCAUUUAUUUGAAAGGGGCAAUUGCUCCACUACAAGAUGGACCUGCGUUGUAUUAGCUAGUAGGUGAGGUAAUGGCUCACCUAGGCGACGAUACAUAGCCGACCUGAGAGGGUGAUCGGCCACACUGGGACUGGGACACGGCCCAGACUCCUACGGGAGGCAGCAGUAGGGAAUCUUCGGCAAUGGGGGCAACCCUGACCGAGCAACGCCGCGUGAGUGAAGAAGGUUUUCGGAUCGUAAAGCUCUGUUGUAAGUCGAGAACGGGUGUGAGAGUGGAAAGUUCACACUGUGACGGUAGCUUACCAGAAAGGGACGGCUAACUACGUG
rnacentral:rRNA from 1 species